GCCUUGUACACACCGCCCGUCACACCAUGGGAGUGGGUUGCUCCAGAAGUAGAUAGUCUAACCCUCGGGAGGACGUUUACCACGGAGUGAUUCAUGACUGGGGUGAAGUCGUAACAAGGUAGCCCUAGGGGAACCUGGGGCUGGAUCACCUCCUUAUACGA
rnacentral:rRNA from 1 species